rnacentral:lncRNA from 1 species
GAACUUAGUAAAAGAAAAUAGAACUAAACAGAAGCAAAUAGAAUCAAAUAAGAAAAAAUAGCCAAAUUUUACUAAAAAAAAGUGUUUGAAGCUAUACUUGACCAAAUGCCCAAAUAGCCUUAGCCAAUCCUAUUUAUACUUUGUUCAACUACCUUGGAACUUUCUAGAAUAUCUCUAAUGGUGGAUCCUACCAAGAUAAUUACCUUUUUAGAAGAUUUUAGAGAUAGGCCUUAGUAUGAUAACUAUCCUAAAUCUUUCUAGAAGGUUUUAUGGUAGAUCCCACAAGAACCACCAUCUUAAUCUCAAUUCUAGAAACUUUCUAAAAAUAAUUCUAAUUAUAUAUCUCUAUAUACAAAUAAUACAAAUAUCCUAUCUAUGCCUUAUUACAUA